GCCGUCUGAUGAAGUUGUCGUGCUACCUAGCUAUGUAUAUUAUAUAUGAUUUACCCAGUUAAACUUAAAGUUUUGACAACCCUAAAGUUAGAUAGUUUCAAGCCUCAAGCUGGUUUAACAAAAUAUUAAUUCCUUUCUUUCAUUAAUGUUUACCUAAUUAUACAUAUUUUAUUUUCGUUUCAAAGUAUUAUAUAUUCAGAAAAUAAUCCACCAAAGAU
rnacentral:lncRNA from 1 species